AUUCUGAAGAUCGUGUUAUAGACUGUGUGGUUGCUGUUGUGAUCGUCAGUGAUAUGAUUGAUAUAUAACCAAACAAGAUUUGCCUCCGAUAUGAAAGCAGGGAUCUGUAUCUGACGAGCUGUGAUUAAAGCCACAGGUAACGCCGUCCCGUGACAAGAUGAACCCAAACAACAACAACAACCACCAACAACAACAACG